AUUUAUUAACCAACUAAGUGCAUUAUUGCCAAAAGUGACUGUUUAUUAAAAAUUACAUAUUUUCUGUAAUGGCCCUGUUUUUCUGUAAUGGCCCUGUUUUUCUGUAAUGUCCCUGUUUUUCUGUAAUGGCCCUGUUUUUCUGUAAUGGCCCUGUUUUUCUGUAAUGGCCCUGUAUUAAUGCCCAGUUUGUCUGUUUUUUAACACAUAUCUCUUUCAACUUAAUAUCUUGGAUAUUUGGUAUAUUUAAAGCUUUAUAAUGGUGAAGUACAAAUUAUUUUGUUCAAACUAAACUGUCAUUAAAAGAGUAAGACAGUACAUCAAGUUAGCAGCAACACAUACACUUUUGUUCAGUGGUUAAUAAAUG
rnacentral:lncRNA from 1 species